GAGUGUGUGAAAUUAAUCUGGCUAUCACCUCUGUCACCCCUGGGCACUGGGAUUGAUUUGACUGACUUUGAUGGAUAGGUAGGUGCCCUUCCCCUCUCGCCAUGCCGUAUACAUUCCUUCCAAACCUGGAUGCUCAGUAGAUGAUGAUGCCCUGCCCAGGUGGGAAACCAUUCUUCUGUCCAGAGGACAAGAAUGACUCUGCUUUCUUGCUAAGACCUCCAACAAGCUCUCGGGGAAGUAAGUCACUGGUGAAGAGCCCAUGGUUGCCUCGCUCUGGCUCCUGCCCGUCUUU
ensembl:misc_RNA